rnacentral:rRNA from 1 species
GUGGGGAAUAUUGCACAAUGGAGGAAACUCUGAUGCAGCAACGCCGCGUGAGUGAUGAAGGUCUUCGGAUCGUAAAGCUCUUUGAUUGGGGACGAUAAUGACGGUACCCAAAGAACAAGCCACGGCUAACUACGUGCCAGCAGCCGCGGUAAUACGUAGGUGGCGAGCGUUGUCCGGAUUUACUGGGCGUAAAGGAUGCGUAGGUGGAAACUUAAGUGAGAUGUGAAAUCCCCGGGCUUAACCUGGGAACUGCAUUUCAAACUGGGUAUCUAGAGUGCAGGAGAGGAAAGCGGAAUUCCUAGUGUAGCGGUGAAAUGCGUAGAUAUUAGGAAGAACAUCAGUGGCGAAGGCGGCUUUCUGGACUGUAACUGACACUGAGGCAUGAAAGCGUGGGGAGCAAACAGGAUUAGAAACCCGAGUAGUCC